UACGUAGGGACCGAGCGUUGUCCGGAUUUAUUGGGCGUAAAGAGCGUGUAGGCGGCCAGAUAGGUCUGCUGUGAAAACUCGAGGCUCAACCUCGAGAUGUCGGCGGAAACCAUUUGGCUAGAGUGCGGAAGAGGCGAGUGGAAUUCCUGGUGUAGCGGUGAAAUGCGCAGAUAUCAGGAGGAACACCAAUUGCGAAGGCAGCUCGCUGGGACGUUACUGACGCUGAGACGCGAAAGCGUGGGGAGCAAACAGG
rnacentral:rRNA from 1 species